AAGGACAAGAAGGACACGAAAAGGAAGAAAGACAAGAAGAGUAAAAAGGACUCAGGAAAGUCUUCACGAUCAGAAAACCAUGACGACAAGCAUGAGAAAGCCAAAUCAGCUGAUAAGGAUGGAGAAAACUCCUUGCUGAAGAUUGAAGGAGAGUCAGGGGGUUUGGGGUCAUCCAGCAUGAGAGAUUACAGCUGUGGCUCUCAGAUUUCUUCAUCUCUAGUUUACUCCAGCCUGCCUUCUGAAACCCUGAGCCACACAGAGAGCAGCAGCGCCUCCCGCAGGCCUCUGACUGCCAUAGAGAGCCUGAUGGGACAUCCUCAGAGAAACACACUGGGGACAGACAGAGUCACGGCCAGCAGAUACACCUCACACUUCACAUCGUAAGAAACACUUACACAAAAGCACCAUGGCAGUACCAUGUUUUUUGGGGUUUAGAGUGCUGCAGUGAUGACGUAUGUUUGUAUGACUCCUACAUGAUUCUUACAUCACAUAUGUGUCCCUGCAGCACAAAAGCAGUCAUAAGUAGCACAGGUAUAUUUGUAGUA